UAACAAUUACUAAAAGAUUCUAAUCACAGGAUACACGACUAUAGUUAGACAACACUAAGAAAAUAACAACAUAGAUGCACCAGUAUGAUAGGUAAGACUUCCCACUAAAGCGGUGUGUAUUCACAUCACAACACUGAGUCAUUAUUCCUGAUGGCAACGUCCUCUACAUCUGUACCUGCCAGAGCUGUUCAAAAUGUUCAGCACAGCAACUUAACAAACACUGAACACAACAUCAAAACACAAUGUCAAAUCCUAGAAUGCAUUGCACAUUCGGAAUUUCAUCUUCUUUCAGCUGUUACAGGAAACCAUUCAAUUCAAGACUUCUGUGAUGCUCUUAGUUCCAAUAGGAAUGGAAAUACAAAACCUCUUGUGGAUAUGACACACUUAAAGCUGAUGUGUUUUCUUGAGUGAUUGUGAUAUUUUUUCAUUACAGCCAUUCUGUCUGAUCAUUAUACAUGUGUUGUAAGAGGUUGAUAGCAGUCCAUAAGGGAGCUCUUUGGAGACACAAUGGACACUGACAUCUGGUCCUACAUCAAUCAACUUCCACAAACUGUGGGUACUGGAGUGUCCGUCUCCCUGUUGGUGAGUUAACUGACUAGCAGUGACAACAAAUUUGGUCCAGUGACUAGUCUAUUGCAGUUUUCUAAUUUGCUAGUGAGUAACUAGCAGUGACAACAAACUUGGUCCAGUGACCAGUUUAUUGCAAUCUUCUACUUUGCUGGUGAAUUAAUUGAACAACAAACUUUUGUAUGGAGCAGUGAAAUUAGUGGCAGGAUCAAAUCCCUGAUCACUUUUGUGACUAUGCAAUUUGUGGACUCAACAAUUGCUAAAUCACAAAAGCUGUCAUAGGAAUUGAGAGUGGCUGUCUAACACCGGCUAGCUUGGAUGUCCUAGAGCACUACAGUCAAAGCAAGCCACUUAGAACUGUUUUAUUACUACAUCAAUACAUUAGGGAUACUUCAUGGGGAUUUUUUUUUGUUGAAUUUACACUUAAAGCAAGAGAGUCAUGAUUGGUCUAUGAAUC